AUGGCCCAGCUCCCCGGCAAUGGCAGGCACCCUGCUCCCGCUCGCCGGAGUCCCCGGGCGGGGGCCUGGGCCGGGGGCGGCCCCACCUGCCGGGAGCGCCCGCCGCGGGCGCCGAGGGGGGCUGGGGGGGGCGGGGCGCCGCGCGAGUGUCCGCGGACGCCGGGGGCCGGAGCCGGGGCCGGGGGGCGCGUCGGGGUCCCCGCGGGGGAGGGGGAGGGCGGGCGCGGCCCGCAGCAGGCGCCCAGGUCGGCGGCCCGGGUGGAAGUCCCCGAUCCGCGAGCGGGCCGGGCGUGCCGGGCUCCAGGGGCGAGGCCGCCACCACGAGGCCGGCUCCGCGCCUCCACGCGCGUCCGGGGCAGCGCUGGGGCCGACACCGAAGUCGUGCCCUCGGCCGGCCGGGGCGGGGGGGGGGGGGGGGGGGGGGGGGGGGGGGGGGGGGGGGGGGAGGGGAGGGGAGGGGAGGGGGGGGGGGAGGGGGCUGCCCGCCCUCCCGCCAGCGGGUCGCAAAGUAGCCCCGACCCAGGAGCCCGCGGGCGACCGAGGGACGAGACCAGCCGCCGCGGCCCGCAGGAGAGCGGGCGGGCGGGGGAGCCUCCGGGGCCGAGCGGGGCCGCCGACACGCAGCAGCGCCCGCGUCCAGCCCCCGCAGCUGCACUUUCCCCAGCGGCAGCCCCGCCGCGCCCGGGGGCGCCCCUGCGCCAGCUCCAACUUUCCCUCCUCUGGGGGGCGCCGGGCGACCGGGGCGGCCGUCCUCGCCGGGGGGCGGGGGGAGCUCCGGGGCGGGGCUCCGGGCGGCGGAGGGGGGGGGCGGCGGGGCUCGGGACGGCGGGGGAGGGGGGCGGGGGGCCGGCGGGGAGGGUGCAGGGGGUGCAGGGGGGCGGCGGGGAGGGGUGCAGGGGGGCGGCGGGGAGGGUGCAGGGGGGCGGCGGGAAGGUGCAGGGGAGAGGCGAGGAGGGUGCAGGGGGCGGCGGGGAGGGCUGCAGGGGGGGAUGGGGCUCGGGACGGCGGCGGGGGGUGCAGAGGGGGACGGGGGGAGGACGGCGGGGAGGGCAGCGGGGGGGGGGCGUUGCAGGGGCAGCGGCGGGGCCCCGGGGAGGAGUGCAGGGGGGUCGGGGGGGACUGCAGGGGGCGGCGGGGCUCGGGGCGGCCGCACAGCCCGCACCGGGCAGGACGCACCGGCCGCCUGCGCCCCCGUGGCGCCGCCCCACGACCCCGCGCGCCCCGCCCGGGCUCCGCCGGGGCAGCGCUCGCCCCCCGGGCCGGCCGGCGCCGGGGAGGGGACCGAGGGGACGCGGGCAGCCCUGGCCCCGUUACCUGGAAGGCGCGCGUGCCGCUGGGGCGACCACCAUCGCCGGCCGGCCCGUCCCCCGCCCGGUGACCGCGGCCGCCGCCGCCGAGCAACUGACACUAACAAGUAACUAA
rnacentral:lncRNA from 1 species